rnacentral:rRNA from 1 species
UACGAAGGGGGCUAGCGUUGCUCGGAAUUACUGGGCGUAAAGGGAGCGUAGGCGGAUAGUUUAGUCAGAGGUGAAAGCCCAGGGCUCAACCUUGGAAUUGCCUUUGAUACUGGCUAUCUUGAGUACGGAAGAGGUAUGCGGAACUCCGAGUGUAGAGGUGAAAUUCGUAGAUAUUCGGAAGAACACCAGUGGCGAAGGCGACAUACUGGUCCGUUACUGACGCUGAGGCUCGAAAGCGUGGGGAGCAAACAGG